UCUCUGUCUCUCUUUCUCUGCAGGAUUGUGAGUGAUCCUCUCUUGUCUCUCAACAGCAAGAGGUUGGUUAUGGACAAGAUCUCAUCUCCAGAGGAGGAGGAGAAAAAGCCAUGAAGGUUUUCAAAGGUAUAAUUAUGCAAAGGAAAGAAUCCAGCAAAGAAUUGCCAGAGAAGGAAUAAAAAAUAAGAUUUUAUAUGAAAGCACCCACCUUGAUCCUGAAAGAAAACAAACCAACAGCAACAACUGAGCAACUUGAACAUGGAAAAUGGAACUCUUGAAGUCAGUGUGAACAAUGUUGGGGUCAACUACACAGAGCAUUUUAUACAUACAAAUAAAGUAUGUUUAAACCAUAAAAAAAAAAAUUAACAAAAGCAAACAUCAGGCCUGAAUUAUUAUACCAGAAUGAUAUUUUCUCAAGACCACAACCAUGCUGCCCUUUCAAUAGCCAGGAGAUUAUGUUUGUCACCAGCUCCUAAGAACAACCUUACUCCUGAGCAAAAAUAGCACUGCAGGUAUUGCAGGAGACACGCAGUUAAAAGUCACUUCUGCCCUCUUGGGCUUGCUAGUACAAUCCCUGGCCCCAAGUGAGUAGCCAGUAAUGACUACAUAUGGUGCUCACUACAGAAGUCACUAGGAUAUGCACAGGUGCUGCUUUGCUCCUCAGGGACAUGUGGUAGGACUUCUAUCCUCACCUCAUUCCACACGGUGCACCUCAGAAUCAGAGCACAUCACGCUGCAUUAAAACCACACUCUGGGAACACUAUGUGCAGGGCUGUCUGGU